AGAGUUUGAUCCUGGCUCAGGACGAACGCUGGCGGCGCGCCUAACACAUGCAAGUCGAACGAGCGAGAGAGAGCUUGCUUUCUCAAGCGAGUGGCGAACGGGUGAGUAACGCGUGAGGAACCUGCCUCAAAGAGGGGGACAACAGUUGGAAACGACUGCUAAUACCGCAUAAGCCCACAGCUCGGCAUCGAGCAGAGGGAAAAGGAGCAAUCCGCUUUGAGAUGGCCUCGCGUCCGAUUAGCUAGUUGGUGAGGUAAUGGCCCACCAAGGCGACGAUCGGUAGCCGGACUGAGAGGUUGAACGGCCACAUGGGGACUGAGACACGGCCCAGACUCCUACGGGAGGCAGCAGUGGGGAAUAUUGCACAAUGGGGGAAACCCUGAUGCAGCGACGCCGCGUGGAGGAAGAAGGUCUUCGGAUUGUAAACUCCUGUUGUUGAGGAAGAUAAUGACGGUACUCAACAAGGAAGUGACGGCUAACUACGUGCCAGCAGCCGCGGUAAAACGUACGUCACAAGCGUUGUCCGGAAUUACUGGGUGUAAAGGGAGCGCAGGCGGGAAGACAAGUUGGAAGUGAAAUCUAUGGGGCUCACCCAUAAACUGCUUUCAAAACUGUUUUUCUUGAGUAGUGCAGAGGUAGGCGGAAUUCCCGGUGUACCGGUGGAAUGCGUAGAUAUCGGGAGGAACACCAGUGGCGAAGGCGGCCUACUGGGCACCAACUGACGCUGAGGCUCGAAAGUGUGGGUAGCANACAGGAUUAGAUACNCUGGUAGUCCACACCGUAAACGAUGAUUACUAGGUGUUGGAGGAUUGACCCCUUCAGUGCCGCAGUUAACACAAUAAGUAAUCCACCUGGGGAGUACGACCGCAAGGUUGAAACUCAAAGGAAUUGACGGGGGCCCGCACAAGCAGUGGAGUAUGUGGUUUAAUUCGACGCAACGCGAAGAACCUUACCAAGUCUUGACAUCCCUUGACGAACAUAGAAAUAUGUUUUCUCUUCGGAGCAAGGAGACAGGUGGUGCAUGGUUGUCGUCAGCUCGUGUCGUGAGAUGUUGGGUUAAGUCCCGCAACGAGCGCAACCCUUACUGUCAGUUACUACGCAAGAGGACUCUGGCAGGACUGCCGUUGACAAAACGGAGGAAGGUGGGGAUGACGUCAAAUCAUCAUGCCCUUUAUGACUUGGGCUACACACGUACUACAAUGGCGUUAAACAAAGAGAAGCAAGACCGCGAGGUGGAGCAAAACUCAGAAACAACGUCCCAGUUCGGACUGCAGGCUGCAACUCGCCUGCACGAAGUCGGAAUUGCUAGUAAUCGUGGAUCAGCAUGCCACGGUGAAUACGUUCCCGGGCCUUGACACACCGCCCGUC
rnacentral:rRNA from 1 species